rnacentral:rRNA from 1 species
UGGGGAAUAUUGGACAAUGGGCGAAAGCCUGAUCCAGCAAUGCCGCGUGAGUGAUGAAGGCCUUAGGGUUGUAAAGCACUUUCGGCCGGAACGAAAUCGCGCGGGUGAAUAUCCCGCGUGGAUGACGGUACCGGAAGAAGAAGCACCGGCUAACUACGUGCCAGCAGCCGCGGUAAUACGUAGGGUGCGAGCGUUAAUCGGAAUUACUGGGCGUAAAGUGUGCGCAGGUGGCCGCGCAAGUCGAGUGUGAAAUCCCCGAGCUUAACUUGGGAAUUGCGCUCGAAACUACGUGGCUCGAGUAUGGCAGAGGAAGGUGGAAUUCCACGUGUAGCGGUGAAAUGCGUAGAGAUGUGGAGGAACACCGAUGGCGAAGGCAGCCCCCUGGGUCAAGAUUGACGCUCAUGCACGAAAGCGUGGGGAGCAAACA